CGGGGGGGGGGGCAAGCGUUGUUCGGAAUUACUGGGCGUAAAGGGCGCGCAGGCGGGCCUGGCAAGUCCUUCGUGAAAUCCCACGGGCUCAACUGUGGAACUGCGGAGGAUACUUCUAGGCUUGAGUCCGGGAGAGGGGAGUGGAAUUCCCAGUGUAGCGGUGAAAUGCGUAGAUAUUGGGAGGAACACCGGUGGCGAAGGCGGCUCCCUGGACCGGUACUGACGCUGAGGCGCGAAAGCUAGGGGAGCAAACGGGAUUAGAUACCCCGGUAGUCCUAGCUGUAAACGUUGAGCACUUGGUGUGGCGGGUGUCGACCCCUGCCGUGCCGAAGCUAACGCAUUAAGUGCUCCGCCUGGGGAGUACGGUCGCAAAGGCUGA
rnacentral:rRNA from 1 species